rnacentral:rRNA from 1 species
UACGUAGGUCCCAAGCGUUAUCCGGAAUUAUUGGCGUAAAGAGCUCGUAGGCGGCCUGUUGCGUCCGCUGUGAAAGCCCGGGGCUUAACCCCGGUCGGCAGUGGAUACGGGCAGGCUAGAGGUAGGUAGGGGAGAAUGGAAUUCCCGGUGUAGCGGUGAAAUGCGUAGAUAUCAGGAGGAACACCGGUGGUGUAGACGGCUUCUGGACCGUAACUGACGCUGAGACACGAAAGCGUGGGUAGCAAACAGG